AAAUUGAACUCUCCCCAAGACAGCAUGUGUCAAGAGGCCAGGGCAAAUUAUAGCACUGCUUUUAGCAGCUCUGAAAGAAAAUUCAUGUACUCACAUUCAAAGACCGAUAUUUGAAAGGACUGUAUAUAGAUAUGCCACACAUAACCAGCGCAUGAAUGAGAUGGAGCAACAAUUUCAAGAAGCAGGACCUGAUUUUGGGAGCAUGCACUCUAGCUCUGAAUCAGUUCAAGAUAACUGGACACCUGCUGUGGAUGCUAUGGAAAAUAUUUUCAGAAUGGGAUCAGGUAUUGGGUUCGGAACACAAAAUGCUGAUCCACAGCUGGAACUAGCCCAAUGUUCAUGGCUCUUCCUAUCUGGAUUUUCUUUUCAACCCACUAGGGUGCAAAUUGCUCAGUUGCAGAAAAUUUCUGUGUUUGUGUGUGUUCCUUGAAGAGCAGGAGACCUGGUUCCACUACUUGAACCAUUUUAGUGGGUUUCUUUCAGACGUCUCAACAUUUGUUUCUUGCUGGCUGAGUCUCUGGGGAUGUAAGAAACAAAGACCGGCACGUUUUUCGCCUGUAGCACUGAGCUGAGCUGUGGCUUCUCUGGUUGCCAUAUGUCCCAACAAGCAAAUGCAUGUGCCAGCUCAUGCAGCGGCAUGCGCUAUGCUACUGGCUGAAUAAAAGCAUCACACAGGA
rnacentral:lncRNA from 1 species